UUAAGAAAAUCAAAAGGAAAAGAAAAUAUAUUUACUAUUCAUUAAGUGGAGGUGGAUCAUCAUAAAGGUAUUCUUCCUCGUCUUCAUGUUGAACAGGCUGAGGAGGAGGAUGACAAGGAGGGCUUGGUCUUGCUGUUUCAGGGUGGCAGAAGCAGAAGAAAAAAUCCAGAUAUAAGUGGACCCGUGCAGUUCAAACCUGAGUUGCUCAAGGGUCAACUGUACUAUUACCAAGAAUGAUAGUCCACUGAGCUACCCCUGUGAAGAAACAAGAGUUAACAAUCCCCUGAUAUCAGCAUUCUCUACUCCUUCCCUCAACAGAGAGGCCAACAUUGUUUCUAAAAACUCCUUGAGGAAACUUAAACCAGAACCCUCCCAGUGUGAGAGGGUGGGCUGGGCUACCUUGGUAGGGAGUGAUGUUGGGGGAGGGAAAAUUGGGGCCACACUGUGGUAGGCCUGGUGUGGUGGCUGGAGCUUAGCUUUCCUUGUAGCACCCGGGAAAAGGGCCAGACUCAAAGAGCCUGCCUAACAGAAGCAAGAUUCGCAACAAUAUCUGAGGGGUACUUAAAGGCAUUUCUAACCAAAAUAUCUCAUACUAGUUUGUUCUGGUGCCUGACAUUAUUUUCCUCACCAGGGAGAUUCAUGCAAGAAGGGAAUAGAGAGAUACCUGCAUUGUCUUCCUUGUGGAUUGGUGUAGUGGGAAGUUCAGAGGGGUUCCAGGACUUCAAUUCCGCCUAGUAGUUAAAGAAGAAGAUAAGGCAGAGAGACAGAGACGCAACCACUCAUAAUUGUAAACAAAGGCAUCUUUCUCUCCAAGGAAGUUAGCUGCCUUGUCACGAAGACAAUCACAACAGCCUUAUCCAUGAGGUGAGGAAUGGAGGCCUCCUGCCAACAACCACGGGAAUAAGUCACCUUGAAAGUGGAUCCUCCAACCCAAUCAAGCCUUCGGACGACUGCAGCCCUGGCUGACAUCUUGAUUGUAAUCUCAUGAAAGAACCUGAGCCAAAACUAUUCAGGUCCCAGGAUCCCGCUGAACUGGCUUGGUUAUGGUUGCUGAGCUCUGCCUGACUUUCCUGCCUCUGCAUCCAGACUCCUUCUCAUCCCUUGGAUUCCUUCUCUGCCUAUCCCUGCUAAAAUCAUGUCUAUGCUCCCACCUACAUCAUUUGCUAAUAUAUCAAGAAGCUUCUCUCAAA